UACGGAGGGUCCAAGCGUUAUCCGGAAUCAUUGGGUUUAAAGGGUCCGUAGGCGGUUUUGUAAGUCAGUGGUGAAAGCCCAUCGCUCAACGGUGGAACGGCCAUUGAUACUGCAAGACUUGAAUUAUUGGGAAGCAACUAGAAUAUGUAGUGUAGCGGUGAAAUGCUUAGAGAUUACAUGGAAUACCAAUUGCGAAGGCAGGUUGCUACCAAUACAUUGACGCUGAUGGGACGAAA
rnacentral:rRNA from 1 species